UGUGGAGUAAUUCAGUUGGAAGAAUAUCUGUUUCAUAAGCAGAAAGCCGUGGAUUCCAAUCUCAUCUUUACAA
rnacentral:tRNA from 1 species